CCAAACCGGCCAGAUAUCCAGAUUCAUUGUCAUCCAAUAUUAGUAAUGGGGUACAACAUCUCAACGUGAACGUUAAAGACGAUUCCAAAGUGGAUUCAGGUUAUGACUGGGAUGCUGACAUGAUGAGAGGAAUUACAUCAUUUACAAGCAUUGUUGGAUGACGUCUAUUAUGGAGUAUCCACAAGACAACGGGCCGCCUGCCGCCGUAGGUCAAUGUGAACGUGGGGCCGUGGGCGCUGGUAGCGCACUGGUGCCUGUGUAGGACAAGGGCCGGGGAGAGGUGUAAGUGGAAGACGAGACACCUCUCCCGCGUGUGCUACCAGCAUCGAGAUGUUUACACGGCGGAAGAGAUUAUACAGAUGAUAAAUCGCCGACGCCCACGCUGCCAGGCUAUGACCCUUAAAGGGCUACGGUGCUCAAGAGAUUCAACAAGGCAGUUUGUUCUGCAUUAUUGCACACAGCAUUAAUGUGAGGAACCUAUUGAAGCAUAGCUGAGGAAUGGAAAGAGUCCCUCAGGAAUAGCAGGAGGGCUAGGAGAGAAAGUACAUCGUUAUCGAAGAUAACCUCCUCCUCCUUACUGAGCAGUUCAUCUCACAACAUUCAAGAGAAGCCCGCCAGCCAAACAGACUCAUCAUCCCUGUUCAGCUCAUCUCACAAGCAAACGACAUUCAAGAGAAGCCCGCCAGCCAAACGGACCCAUCAUCCCCGUUCAGCUCAUCUCACAAGCAAACGACAUUCAAGAGAAGCCCGCCAGCCAAACGGACCCAUCAUCCCCGUUCAGCUCAUCUCACAAGCAAACGACAUUCAAGAGAAGCCCGCCAGCCAAACAGACCCAUC
rnacentral:lncRNA from 1 species